CUUAUUACAACUCAAAACCAAAUAAUAUUAUUAAUAAGAUAAAACUUAUAAUGAAAUAAAUCGGCUACUUAUUGCAAUUAAAAAAAACAGAAACAGUAGUGUGGCCAUCUCUGAGUCCCUCGUAGCUCCAAACCAUCUAAGCUUAGGGAUUACCUGCACAGUUAGAAAUGGGGUGAGUUUACGAAAACUCAGUGUGUAACCCCAAUAACAAACAAACAGUAAAUAACACAGUAUCAGCACAAUCUGGGCCAAAGCCCUAUUUAGUCUUGACAUAUACUGGGCCGAAGCCUUUCAUUUAAUGGUUACUAGGCUGAAGCCUUUUCAUAAAUCAUAUCACUAGGCCGAAGCCUUUACUGUAAACGGUAUGGCCCAUAGGCCCAUUUCAAUAUCACAUGUAAUGUCAAUGGAUGUAUGCAAGCCCAUUUCAAUAUCAUAUGAAAUACCAAUGAAUGUAUGCAAGCCCAUUUUGGGAGACUACUCGACCCACCAUCCGCUACUCUCCACCCGUACCAACCAACACACCAUGUGGGGAAUAAUUCAACCCACCCAACCAACACACCACUGGCAGCAUAGCUGCUUUAUCAUAUAUCUGGAGGCCUAGCCUCUUUUAAUAACUGGGCAUAGCCCUUUUCGGUAAACAGGGGCAAAGCCCUUUUCAAUAAACCCGAGCAUAAGCCCUUUUCGGUAAACUGGGGCACAAGCCCUUUUCAAUAAACUGGGGCAUAAGCCCUUUUGCACUUCCUCCAUCCAUAUAAAAACCCAACCCAAUGCAUUUAUGAAUACAUCAUGUGCAUUUCAUACAUAUCAUGUGCAUUACAUAUCAUGUGCAUAUCAUAUCAAUCAUGUAUAUCAUAUCCCACGUAUCAAAUUUAUAAUUAAACCCUAGGGGUAUAAUGGUCAUUUUUACCUAGGGGCAAAAUAGUCAUUUUCAUACUGUAAGGGUAAUUUCAUAAUUUUACCAAAUAUCAGGGUUUUCCAUGUUCGUUAACAAUUAUCAAUAUUUCCAAGUGUUUAAACAAUGAUUUUUAACCCACUUUAUCAAAUUCGGGCUUUUGGGCCCAAAACCCUUAAUGGGCUCUACGAGGGUAAAAUAGUAAUUUUAUAAAUCGAGGGUGAAAAGGUAAUUCUGUAAAUCGAGGGUAAAAUGGUAAUUUUAUAAAUCGAGGGUAAAAUGGUAAUUCUAUAAAUCGAGGGUAAAAUAAUAAUUUUGUAAAUCGAGGGUAAAACGGUAAUUCUGUAAAUCGAGUGUAAAACAGUAAUUUUGUAAAUCCAGGGUAAGAGGGUAAUUCUGUAAAUCGAUGGUAAAAUAGUAAUUCUUUAAAUCGAGGGUAAAACAAUAAUUAUGUAAACUGAGGGUAUUUCGAUAAUUUUACAAAUCGAGGAUAUUUGGGUAAUUUUAUAAAUCGAGGGUACUUGGUAAUUUUACAACUGGGGGUAUUUCAGGAAUUUGGUAAACUAAAGUAUUCUAAACAGGGAUAAUAAUACGAAUGAGCCUAAAGCCCUUCUCGGCCCAAGUGGGCCCACACGCUCGUAUGGCCCUUUUAGCCCAAAUCUAGCCAUAGAUGUGAGAUUCACCUAGCCUAGUCCAAUAUUUACUACACAAUCAAACAACUUACCCAAUUGGGCCCGUAGGCCCAUUGGGCCCACAUGACCCCUUUCGGACCAUCGCGGCCCGAAGUAGCCAUCCUACAGCUACAGUAGUGAGAAAUACACACCUGAUAGGAGACUAGAGUUAAUCCACGCUCUGAGCACUCUUAGCCGACGCCCAACCCAAUCGAGGGCGCUAUACAGCGAAAGAGAU
rnacentral:lncRNA from 1 species